rnacentral:SRP_RNA from 1 species
GCCAGUGGUGUGUGCCUGUAGUCCCAGCUACUGGGGAGGCUGAGAUGGGAGGACUGCUUGAGCCCAGGAGUUCUGGGCUAUUGUGCACUAUGCCAAACGGGUGUCCACACUAAGUUAGGCAUCAAAAUGGUGACCUCCCGGGAGCGGGGACCACCAGGUUGUCUAAGAAGGGGUGAACCAGUCCAGGUCGGAAACGGAGCAAGUCAAAACUCCUGUGCUGAUCAGUAGUGGGAUCGCGCCUGUGAAUAGUCACUGCACUCCAGUCUAGGCAACAUAGCGAGACCCUGUCUCA